UAGGAUAUGGUGUAGAUUGGUAGCACGAUGGAUUUUGAAUCUUUAGGGGCAGGUUCAAGACCUGCAAUUCUAG
rnacentral:tRNA from 1 species